GCGGGUCAACCCUUACUCGGAUCGUCCGGCACGUUCCUGCCGGUGAUGGGAAGUGAUU
rfam:Nocardia brasiliensis ATCC 700358, complete genome.